rnacentral:snRNA from 1 species
AUACUUACCUGGCAGGGGAGAUACCAUGAUCAUGAAGGUGGUUUUCCCAGGGUGAGGCUCAUCCAUUGCACUCCAGAUGUGCUGACCCCUGCGAUUUCCCCAAAUGUGGGAAACUCGACUGCAUAAUUUGUGGUAGUGGGGGACUGCGUUCGCGCUUUCCCCUG